CUUCUGCAGACCAUUGGUUGUUUCUCCAGCCACUUAUAUCUGCCUAUGGGGCGGUGGUUCUUGGAUCCCUAGUUGCUCCUGAUGCUAAUGCAGAUGUGAAUACUGAUAUCAGCCCUGAGAAUGCUAUGAUCCAGUGACAGGAGAUCAAAGUAAAGGUCUUGAUUAUUUGGUCGAAGCAAGCUGCGGAUGUUGAGUGAACGUGCUACUUUCGCUGUUGUAUGUAAAAGCCAGGCAAGUUAAUGGUCAGAUGAAGCAUAUGCUGCCGAAAAGUUUAGGCCACUAGUCUUCCAAAAAAAGACCAAUGGCCGUUGGUCCAGACACUUGUAUGUGACUUAUAGAAGCAGAGGGUCGUUUUUGGAACCCAGUUGCUCCUGUUGUAAAUGGGGAUGUGUAUACUGAUAUCUCACCUGUGAACUCCGUGAUCUUUUGACAGAGGAAGGAGGAGGGAGUUUGUGGCUGCACCGUCUCUCCGACGUGGCUACAAGUCACGGAACAACUGCUGCUGCUCGUGUCGACGAGGCAGCCUUCAUGCCUGCUGC